rnacentral:rRNA from 1 species
ACGCGAAGAACCUUACCAGGUCUGACAUCCCUUGACCACUCUAGAGAUAGAGCUUCCCUUCGGGGACAAAGUGACAGGUGGUACAUGGUGUCGUCAGCUCGUGUCGUGAGAUGUUGGGUUAAGUCCCGCAACGAGCGCAACCCUUAUUGUUAGUUGCCAUCAUUAAGUUGGGCACUCUAGCGAGACUGCCGGUGACAAACCGGAGGAAGGUGGGGAUGACGUCAAAUCAUCAUGCCCCUUAUGACCUGGGCUACACACGUGCUACAAUGGACAGUACAAUGAGCAGCGACACGGCGACGUGAAGCGAAUCUCAUAAAGCUGUUCUCAGUUCGGAUUGUAGGCUGCAACUCGCCUACAUGAAGCCGGAAUCGCUAGUAAUCGCGGAUCAGCACGCCGCGGUGAAUACGUUCCCGGGCCUUGUACACACCGCCCGUCACACCACGAAAGUUUGUAACACCCGAAGUCGGUGAGGUAACCGCAAGGAGCCAACCGCCUAAGGUGGGAUAGAUGAUUGGGGUGAAGUCGUAACAAGGUAACCAAGGGCGAAUUCCAG